AGAGAUGAGACCCAGGAAGGAACGCGCCUCGUCGGAGCAGGAAGGCCUCCCAAUUUGCUGACUCUAUCUGUGUCAUUUUUUCGAUCUGUCAUCAUUCGGGGAAGCAUGGGGUUCUUCGUCGCGCUAAAGGUGUUCGAUGGAAUGUGUCUGUGGCACGGCUCCAUCUUACAGGUGGGAGCAAAAUCUGCUCAUCUCAUUUUAGUUUAUUUCACAUUGGUGAGUGAAAUACAGGUUUGCUUGAACACUAGGAACCGUAAUUCUAGAGUUUAACAUCAAUGCUGCCUUUUGUUACCUUUUCAGGUGACCUCAGUCAACAAGAGAGAUGGGGAUCAAGGUUUCCCACUGGCUCUGCGCUGAUAAACAAGCAGGUUUGUACAGCCCACAAGAUUCUGCUCCCUUUACAGUUUAAUUAAAUAUGAAAAGGAGAAAAGGUGCAUUAACCUCAAACAAGUACUAGGUUCGUACAAGCUCAUAUGAAUACAUGAUACACAAACACGCUGACACACCCCAAGUCAUAGCGUCAUCACUGGUGGAAUGGGAAACUGUUGCAGGUCCAACGUUUGGCCUGCCAAACCACUGACAACACAACUGCCACCGCAAAGCCAACUCCAAAACCGGAUCCGACAAACACAAACAACACUAUGGUCCCAACACUGUCUUGCGAAGACACUGAGGAGUUGAGGGUUCCAGUACCUGAACUGUUGCACUCUUUGGAAAGUGGCUUCCCACAGAGUCCUUCAUUGCCUUCGAAUGAGCUGUUGGUAAACGACGAGAACUGCUGCCCUUGUGGUAUCAUUCCGGUCAAAUUGUUGUAGGAGAGAUUCAGCACCGCGAGAUAUGUUAGACUGGUUAGAUCCCGCGGGAUCACCCCUGAGAGCUUGUUCUGAGAGAGGUCCAGUGACUCAAGCUGUGCCAAGUCACCAAGCUUUGAUGGGAUUCUUCCAGUGAAGGCGUUAUGUGAAAAUGUUCAGACCAUGUAGAGCAAUAAGAUUCCCAACUGAGUCUGGGAUGGGACCAUCAAAUGCGUUGUUUGAGAAAUCAAGCAUCUUGAAAGUGGUUAGGAUCUUGGUAAAUGUAAGAUCACUCCCUUUAAAUGUGACGACCAUACUAUCUUGGUAUAAUUUAUUAGAUGAUCCAAUCCGCUGAAAGGCCAGAACAUCACCCUCGCUUGUAGAAUUUGACAUCAUAGUUUCUAGUUUCUCGAACCAUUCCGGAUGCAAAUUCCCAGAAAAGUUAUUUGAGGCUAAAUCAAUAAUUUGCAUUCUUGAGAAAAAAAUUCUGGCAGCAACACCUUUUGUAAGGCUCCCAAUUGAACCAUAGAAUUGGUUGGAUCUUAAGAUGAGAACUCGAAGACUGGAAAGGACUCCCAACCAGGUUGGGAAAGAAUCAACAAUAUGAUUGUUACCUAUAUCAAGGACCUCUAAGCUUCUGCAGUUAGAGAGAGAGAUCUGGGUAUUUUUACUUCAAUUCGGUUGCUGUUCAAAUCUAUUGUCUGAAGCAUACAGCCUUCUCCAAUAUUUCCAGGCAGCAUCCCAUCUAAUUGGUUGUUUCUCAACUUUAACAUUUUCACAGCCAUGUUGAAUCAAGCAGGAUGGAACCGGGCCAGUAAGGUUGUUAUAUGACAACUCAAGCAUUUCAUGGUUUGCACCACAAAUUGAAGUUGGUAUAUGACCAUUUAGUUUAUUCUUGGACAAAUCAAGCUUGAUGGAGCCGUUGAUAGGUAUAUCCACGGCCGGUGUAAUUGAAGAGAAGCUAUUGUUGGAGUAAACUAACAAAACUCCACCGAAUAUUCUGGAUAUGAGUGGUAUCCGUAAAUUCCCUUCAAGUCUGUUGGAACUAAGAUCAAGAAAACCCAAACUCCUUAUGAUAGGAUUAAGUGGUGUACACUUCUCCAGGGUAGUGAACAUGUUGUGUGAAAGGUUGAACCGGAUGCUAUUCUUCCCAUUCUCCCACAACCAACAUGGUAUAACUCCAUCUAUACUAUUGCUUGAAAGGUCAACAUCCUCCAUCUCAUAUUGAUGCCUCAACAUACUUGGUAUUUUGGUAAGGUUGCAAGACGCAAGGUAUAGGUAUUGCAUGCUAGGCAGGGAAGGGAAUGGAUAUUCUCCAUCUAUUACUGAUAGCAUGUUGUCAGAAAGGCUCAACAAUUUCAGAUAUUUCAGUCCUGACAGAAGGUCAAGCUCUACAGUGCCCUCCAAUUUAUUUGACUUAAGCAGUAUACCUUGGAGUUUUGUCAACUGAAGAAUGAUUUGGGUAUGUGGCCACUUAGCUGAUUAAAACAUAACACAACAUAAUAUAAAGGUGAAGAUCGUGGUGCAGAAACAUCUUCAAGGUGACCAGAAAGUUGAUUUGAUCCUAAGUUCAGUUCUUCCAAAUUUGGAUGAUUUAACAGACAUUUUGGAAUGUCACCUGCACACAGAGAUAAAAUCAAUCAAUUCAAAGGGUAGUAAUUUACUGAUAUAUAUGCUUCUAAACUGAAAUAGAAACGCAUGUGAACAAAAAUAACAUGGCGCUGAAUGGAUAAAACUUUUAACAUAUCACAUACUCCCUCCGUAACUUAAUAUAAGACGUUUUUCUUUUCAUAAGUUCGGACUUUUGGUUGUGUUAGCUAGUGCAUGAAGCUCAGGAAGAAAUGUGCAGACCAAGGGGCCACAAGUCUAUGGCGAGUGGCGGAGCAAGUAUUUAACAUAUCGAAAGGUUGUGCAUGGGCAAGUCGGCAGCUCAUAUGAUUUCUUUUAUGAUAGAUCUUCUCACAAAUUGCAUUGAUUUUCAUUUUAGGAUGUAAUAAAACACUAGGAUGGUGGCGUUUGUUUAACACUUUCCCCUUAUUAUUGUUGAGCACCAAGUCCAACUCAGCAAUAUGUAAGUGCGCUUUCUUUUAUGCUUUUUUGCAGGAACCCUUUUCUUUUAUGGCUAGACUAUAUAACUUUUCGUUUAUUAAACCGGGGUUCAAUCCCCUUUCAUUAAGAAAAAUC
rnacentral:lncRNA from 1 species